rnacentral:rRNA from 1 species
UACGUAGGGGGCAAGCGUUGUCCGGAUUUAUUGGGCGUAAAGAGCGUGUAGGCGGCCAGACAGGUCCGUUGUGAAAACUGGAGGCUCAACCUCCAGACGUCGAUGGAAACCGUCUGGCUAGAGUCCGGAAGAGGAGAGUGGAAUUCCUGGUGUAGCGGUGAAAUGCGCAGAUAUCAGGAAGAACACCCGUGGCGAAAGCGGCUCUCUGGGCCAUUACUGACGCUAAGGAGCGAAAGCGUGGGGAGCGAACAGG